rnacentral:rRNA from 1 species
UACGUAGGGUGCAAGCGUUGUCCGGAAUUAUUGGGCGUAAAGCGCACGUAGGCGGCAUUGCAAGUCGGAUGUGAAAUCCCUCGGCUUAACCAAGGAAGUGCAUCCGAAACUGCAGUGCUUGAGUACUUAAGGAGGAUCGCGGAAUUCCCGGUGUAGAGGUGAAAUUCGUAGAUAUCGGGAGGAACACCAGUGGCGAAGGCGGCGAUCUGGGAAGAUACGUGACGCUGAGGUGCGAAAGCGUGGGGAGCAAACAGG